UACGUAGGUGGCAAGCGUUGUCCGGAUUUACUGGGCGUAAAGAGCGCGCAGGCGGUCGGAUAAGUCGAAUGUGAAAGCCCCCGGCUCAACUGGGGAGGGUCAUUCGAUACUGUUCGACUCGAAGGCAGGAGAGGGAAGUGGAAUUCCCGGUGUAGUGGUGAAAUGCGUAGAUAUCGGGAGGAACACCAGUGGCGAAGGCGGCACUCUGGGCCGAUACUGACACUGAGGAGCGAAAGCGUGGGGAGCGAACAGG
rnacentral:rRNA from 1 species